rnacentral:rRNA from 1 species
GAUGAACGCUGGCGGCGUGCCUAAUACAUGCAAGUCGAGCGAACAGAUGAUGAUCUUGCUCCUCUGACGUUAGCGGCGGACGUGUGUGUAACACGUGUAUAACCUCCCUAUAAGUCUGGGAUAACUUCGGGAAUCCGGCGCUAAUACCGGAUAAUAUAUUGCACCGCAUUGUUCAAUAGUGAAAUACGGUUUUUCUGUCACUUAUAGAUGGUUCCGCGCCUCAUUAGCUAGUUGGUAAGGUAACGGCUUACCAAGGCAACGAUGCGUAGCCGACAUGAGAGGGGGAUAGGCGACACUGGAACGGAGAAAGGGUCCAGACGCCUACGGGAGGCAGCAGUAGGGAAUGUUACGCAAUGGGCGAAAGCAUGACGGAGCAACGCCGCGUGAGAGAUGAAGGUGUUCGGAUCGUAAAAAUCUGUUAUGAGGGAAGAACAAAUGUGGAAGUAACUAUGCACGUAUUGACGGUACCGAAUCAGAAAGCAACGGCUAACUACGUG